CAUUAUGAUAUUGUCCUGUCACAGCAGUAGUGCCAUUUUCAAAAGUUAUACUGCUGUCUCGGGACAGUGCAUGGCG
rnacentral:pre_miRNA from 1 species